UACGGGAGGCAGCAGUGGGGAAUAUUGCACAAUGGGCGAAAGCCUGAUGCAGCUAUGCCGCGUGUAUGAAGAAGGCCUUAGGGUUGUAAAGUACUUUCAUCGGGGAGGAAAAAACAAAACUAAUAAUUUUAUUUCUUGACGUUACCCGAAAAAGAAGCACCGGCUAACUCCGUGCCAGCAGCCGCGGUAAUACGGAGGGUGCUAGCGUUAAUCAGAAUUACUGGGCGUAAAGAGCACGUAGGUGGUUUUUUUAAGUCAGAUGUGAAUCCCUGGGCUUAACCUGGAACUGCAUUUUGAAACUGAAAUACUAGAGUAUCGUAGAGGGAGGUAGAAUUCUAGGUGUAGCGGUGAAAUGCGUAGAUAUCUGGAGGAAUACCUGUGGCGAAAGCGGCCUCCUAAACGAAUACUGACACUGAGGUGCGAAAGCGUGGGGAGCAAACGAGGGAUUAGAUACCCGU
rnacentral:rRNA from 1 species